CCUACGGGGGGCUGCAGUAGGGAAUCUUCCGCAAUGGACGAAAGUCUGACGGAGCAACGCCGCGUGAGUGAAGAAGGUUUUCGGAUCGUAAAACUCUGUUGUCAGAGAAGAACAAGUUGGAGAGUAACUGCUCCAGCCUUGACGGUAUCUGACCAGAAAGCCACGGCUAACUACGUGCCAGCAGCCGCGGUAUUACGUAUGUGGCAAGCGUGCUCCGGGUUUAUUGAGUCUAAAGCGAAAGCAGGCGGUUCAACCGUGGAAGGUAAUUGGAAACUGGGGAACUUGAGUGCAGAAGAGGAGAGUGGAAUUCCAUGUGUAGCGGUGAAAUGCGUAGAUAUAUGGAGGAACACCAGUGGCGAAGGCGACUCUCUGGUCUGUAACUGACGCUGAGGCUCGAAAGCGUGGGGAGCAAACAGGAUUAGAUACCCCUGUAGUC
rnacentral:rRNA from 1 species